rnacentral:rRNA from 1 species
UACGAAGGGGGCUAGCGUUGCUCGGAAUCACUGGGCGUAAAGCGCACGUAGGCGGGUUCUUAAGUCAGGGGUGAAAUCCUGGAGCUCAACUCCAGAACUGCCUUUGAUACUGGGAAUCUCGAGUCCGGGAGAGGUGAGUGGAACUGCGAGUGUAGAGGUGAAAUUCGUAGAUAUUCGCAAGAACACCAGUGGCGAAGGCGGCUCACUGGCCCGGUACUGACGCUGAUACGCGAAAGCCAGGGGAGCAAAGCGGG